rnacentral:tmRNA from 1 species
GGGGUUGUAAAGGUUUCGACGGGGAUUUUGAAGCUAUGGAAGCCAUCUGGGGACUAGGACCUCAUAACAACUUAGAAAUUUAAAAUUAAACGCUGAAGAUAAUUUAGCUUACGCAGCCUAAGCUGCGUUGUCACCCUUAGAUUUCCCGCAAUCUGAGACGUGGCAUCGAAACCGCGGGGCACUUCGUCGUCAAAGCUUUGAGAUGAUGGAAGAACUAUGAAGCUACUAAGCCUGUAAGUCUGUUUGUGGACGUACAGGUGAGGGAAUGUUAAAUCACAAACUGUGAUGGGAGAAACUGUAGUGAAUGAGUUUUCGGACGCGGGUUCGAUUCCCGCCAGCUCCAU